CGCCUAUUGAAGAUAUAAUAGGUCCAUCCUGCCCAGUGAAUAAGUUUCAACGGCCGCGGUAUCCUGACCGUGCAAAGGUAGCAUAAUCAUUUGCCUUUUAAUUGAAGGCUAGUAUGAAAGGACACACAAGAAUAAAUCUGUCUCAUUUGGGUUAUCUUAAAACUGAUUUUUAGGUGAAGAAGCCUAAAUUAUUAUAAAGGACAAGAAGACCCUAUAGAGCUUUAUCAAUAAAAGUCAUAAAACUUAUUUAUUGGUUUGGUUGGGACAACCAAAAGACAAAUAAACCUCUUUUAUUAGAAAAAUAACCCUCACCCACAAUUGAACUAGAAUUUCAAGCUACCUUAGGGAUAACAGGCUAAUCCCACUAGAGAGACCACAUUGACAGUGGGGAUUGGCACCUCGAUGUUGGCUUAGUGUAACCAUUAGGCGCAGCCGCUUAAUUGAGUUGGUUUGUUCAACCAUUAAAUCACU
rnacentral:rRNA from 2 species